GCCCCCAUAGCUUAAUGGAUAAAGCAGCGCUCUUCUAAGGCGUUGAUCGGGGUUCAAUUCCUCGUGGGGGCACCA
rnacentral:tRNA from 4 species